AAAAAAACUUUCAAUAUAUGCACAAACAUGAAAGUCUGGCAUUUUAAAACCCAAAAUCCUUUGUUUUCUAGUGUAACCUAAGUAAAUAAUUUGGUGAUGGGACCUGUUUCAGAACUGCUGUUUCUAAUAUCCUCUGAACAUUUCUCCAAGAAGGAGGUGAAUAUUCCUGUGUGAUUAAACCACAAUGAAUAAGAAGGAUGAAAGAUCAUUAACCCUGCAGGGAAAUCCUAACACUGAUGCUUCCAUCCACAGAUACAAAUCCCUAGCAUUCCCUGUGACGGGGGAGUUUCUCUAGAAGAUGCUCUAC
rnacentral:lncRNA from 1 species